rnacentral:rRNA from 1 species
AUUGGUGAAGUGGGUGAUCCUAUGCUGUCGAGAAAAACCUCUAGCGAGCUAUGCGCCGCCCGUACCCCAAACCGACUCAGGUGAUCAGGUAGAGAAUACCAAGGCGAUCGAGAUAACCAUGGUUAAGGAACUCGGCAAAAUGCCCCCGUAACUUCGGGAGAAGGGGGGCCCGGAGCGUGUACCCACUUGCUGGGGAAGCGUGAAGGGCCGCAGAGACCAGGCCCAAGCGACUGUUUACUAAAAACACAGGUCCGUGCGAAGUUGUGAGACGAUGUAUACGGACUGACUCCUGCCCGGUGCUGGAAGGUUAAGAGGACGGGUUAGACGUAAGUCGAAGCUCAGAAUUUAAGCCCCAGUAAACGGCGGUGGUAACUAUAACCAUCCUAAGGUAGCGAAAUUCCUUGUCGGGUAAGUUCCGACCUGCACGAAUGGAGUAACGACUUGGGCGCUGUCUCAACCAUGGACUCGGCGAAAUUGCACUACGAGUAAAGAUGCUCGUUACGCGCGGCAGGACGGAAAGACCCCGGGACCUUUACUAUAGUUUGGUAUUGGUGUUUGGUUCGGCUUGUGUAGGAUAGGUGGGAGACUUUGAAGCAGCCACGCCAGUGGUUGUGGAGUCAUCGUUGAAAUACCACUCUGGUCGUACUAGAUGUCUAACCUAGGUCCGUUAUCCGGAUCAGGGACAGUGCCUGAUGGGUAGUUUAACUGGGGCGGUUGCCUCCUAAAAUGUAACGGAGGCGCUCAAAGGUUCCCUCAGCCUGGUUGGCAAUCAGGUGUUGAGUGUAAGUGCACAAGGGAGCUUGACUGUGAGACAGACAUGUCGAGCAGGGACGAAAGUCGGAACUAGUGAUCCGGCCACGGCAUGUGGAAGCGUGGUCGCUCAACGGAUAAAAGGUACCCCGGGGAUAACAGGCUGAUCUUCCCCAAGAGUCCAUAUCGACGGGAUGGUUUGGCACCUCGAUGUCGGCUCGUCGCAUCCUGGGGCUGGAGUAGGUCCCAAGGGUUGGGCUGUUCGCCCAUUAAAGCGGCACGCGAGCUGGGUUUAGAACGUCGUGAGACAGUUCGGUCCCUAUCCGCCGCGCGCGCAGGAAACUUGAGAAAGGCUGUCCCUAGUACGAGAGGACCGGGAUGGACGAACCUCUGGUGUGCCAGUUGUCCCGCCAGGGGCACGGCUGGUUGGCUACGUUCGGAAGUGAUAACCGCUGAAUGCAUCUAAGCGGGAAGCACGUUUCAAAAUGAGGUUUCCCACCAGGUUAACUGGGUAAGGCCCCCCACAGACUAUGGGGUUGAUAGGCCGGAGGUGUACAGCAGUAAUGCCCAGCCGACCGGUACUAAUAGGCCGAGGGCUUGUCCCG